rnacentral:rRNA from 2 species
UUAAAUUGAAGAGUUUGAUCAUGGCUCAGAUUGAACGCUGGCGGCAGGCCUAACACAUGCAAGUCGAACGGUAACAGGAAGCAGCUUGCUGCUUUGCUGACGAGUGGCGGACGGGUGAGUAAUGUCUGGGAAACUGCCUGAUGGAGGGGGAUAACUACUGGAAACGGUGGCUAAUACCGCAUAACGUCGCAAGACCAAAGAGGGGGACCUUCGGGCCUCUUGCCAUCAGAUGUGCCCAGAUGGGAUUAGCUUGUUGGUGAGGUAACGGCUCACCAAGGCGACGAUCCCUAGCUGGUCUGAGAGGAUGACCAGCCACACUGGAACUGAGACACGGUCCAGACUCCUACGGGAGGCAGCAGUGGGGAAUAUUGCACAAUGGGCGCAAGCCUGAUGCAGCCAUGCCGCGUGUAUGAAGAAGGCCUUCGGGUUGUAAAGUACUUUCAGCGGGGAGGAAGGUGUUGUGGUUAAUAACCACAGCAAUUGACGUUACCCGCAGAAGAAGCACCGGCUAACUCCGUGCCAGCAGCCGCGGUAAUACGGAGGGUGCAAGCGUUAAUCGGAAUUACUGGGCGUAAAGCGCACGCAGGCGGUCUGUCAAGUCGGAUGUGAAAUCCCCGGGCUCAACCUGGGAACUGCAUUCGAAACUGGCAGGCUUGAGUCUUGUAGAGGGGGUAGAAUUCCAGGUGUAGCGGUGAAAUGCGUAGAGAUCUGGAGGAAUACCGGUGGCGAAGGCGGCCCCCUGGACAAAGACUGACGCUCAGGUGCGAAAGCGUGGGGAGCAAACAGGAUUAGAUACCCUGGUAGUCCACGCCGUAAACGAUGUCUACUUGGAGGUUGUGCCCUUGAGGCGUGGCUUCCGGAGCUAACGCGUUAAGUAGACCGCCUGGGGAGUACGGCCGCAAGGUUAAAACUCAAAUGAAUUGACGGGGGCCCGCACAAGCGGUGGAGCAUGUGGUUUAAUUCGAUGCAACGCGAAGAACCUUACCUGGUCUUGACAUCCACGGAACUUUCCAGAGAUGGAUUGGUGCCUUCGGGAACCGUGAGACAGGUGCUGCAUGGCUGUCGUCAGCUCGUGUUGUGAAAUGUUGGGUUAAGUCCCGCAACGAGCGCAACCCUUAUCCUUUGUUGCCAGCGGUCCGGCCGGGAACUCAAAGGAGACUGCCAGUGAUAAACUGGAGGAAGGUGGGGAUGACGUCAAGUCAUCAUGGCCCUUACGACCAGGGCUACACACGUGCUACAAUGGCGCAUACAAAGAGAAGCGACCUCGCGAGAGCAAGCGGACCUCAUAAAGUGCGUCGUAGUCCGGAUUGGAGUCUGCAACUCGACUCCAUGAAGUCGGAAUCGCUAGUAAUCGUGGAUCAGAAUGCCACGGUGAAUACGUUCCCGGGCCUUGUACACACCGCCCGUCACACCAUGGGAGUGGGUUGCAAAAGAAGUAGGUAGCUUAACCUUCGGGAGGGCGCUUACCACUUUGUGAUUCAUGACUGGGGUGAAGUCGUAACAAGGUAACCGUAGGGGAACCUGCGGUUGGAUCACCUCCUUACCUUAAAGAA